rnacentral:rRNA from 1 species
UACGAGUGCCUCGAGCGUUAUCCGGAAUUAUUGGGCGUAAAGGGUGUGUAGGCUGUCCUGUUAGUCUCCUGUAAAAUUCCCCGGCUCAACCGGGGGCGCGCGGGAGAAACGGCAGGACUUAGAGGAUGGAAGGGGUCUGCGGAACUCAUGGUGUAGCGGUGAAAUGCGUUGAUAUCAUGGGGAACACCAAAAGCGAAGGCAGCAGACUGGUCCACUCCUGACGCUGAAACACGAAAGCGUGGGUCGCGAAUGGG